GGACACGAAGGCCUCAAGAGACGCUUCCUUAAAACUAAUUCAAAAUGAGCAGUGGGUACAAGUUUGAUUUUAGCGACGAAAGUCCUAAGGCAAAUAAGAAAGGAAAGAAAAUUGUGUACGCCGUUGCAGCUUUGGGAGCUGUCUUUUUUAUCAUUGGUGUUGUUUUGAUAAUAGUUAGUGUUGUGCGUAAAGGUGAGUCUUGUGAGGAAAGCAAAACGGUAAAACCAACACCUGGAGGUACAUCAGCCUACUCGGCAGAAGCACAAAGGGUUGGCUUGGGACCAUUUCUAGAGAAUGUAAAAUCGACGUAUUACAAAAUGAACCCAAAUCUCAUCGUCAGGAAUCCCGAUGCAACUCCAAGCACAAUAAGACAAGAAUUYAGYCCAUACAACUGUCAUCCAAGCGCUCUCAAGAAACGUACGGACGCUGCCAAGUCGCUUUAUAACAAAGGGGCAAAAAUGUUAAAGGACGUUAACCGCGCCAAGCUUGCACCACGUGAACUGAAAGCCCUUAUGCAAGUUCAACACUUUCUACAAAGCAAUUUUGGAGCUCCGUACGACGAGAACUACUACGCUGGUGAUUGGUUACUUGGACCUAAUUUGUUCUGCUGGCAGCCUAUAUGUGGAAGUUGGUAGUGAUCUUUCAUCACAUUUCAACCUUAAAAAGACGGGAUUUCAACCUGCAAAUGAAGGAGACUUGGAGUUUGUGAUCGCUCAUUUAAAGAACCUUAGUGACUCUCUAACGCAAUACGUCGAUAACUUGAAGUACGGGAUAAAAGCUGGAUAUGUGCGAUCUGUCGAGGAAUGUGAGGUGGGAUUGUUCUCACUGAAGAGGAAGUUUAACAGCAUCUCGAAGGAAGGAGGAAAAGGAAUUCUGAGCUCAAGCUAUGUAAAAGAAAUGAGAGAUCCAAAAUGGUACGAGAAAAUCAACUCUGAUACCAAAACAUCCUGGAAAAGCAAGCAUGGUAAAGACGUCCAACAAUCCAUCGACGAUUCUUUGGUUGAAUACGUUGGGCAACCUGUCCAUAACCUCCUACAAUACCUGGAAUUCAACCAUUCCCAGUACUGUGUCCCGUCUAAUGUUUCCAGUGGACUUGCAAAUCUUCCUUUGGAUUAUGUUUACUUAAGAGGAAACAAAACAUCUGAAAAGACGACAAAGGUCCUUCCAUUUGGAGAGAAAUUGAGUGGCAAAGAGGCGUACAAAAGUAUCUUGCCCUAUUUCACUUCCACAAAUAUGACCCCUGAAGAGGUCAAUGACCUUGGCUGGAAGGUGCUAAAUGAGUUAUAUCCACAAGCUGUAGAAAUUGCCAAAACCAUUACGGGAUUAAAUGACAGCGAUCAAGCAGUUACGGAGUUUAAGAAGAAACUCGAAGAUCAAUCGAUGUUUUUCAAUGACAAGCCAAUUCCUUUGAACGAGUCCAACAAAGAAGCGUGGGAAAAAUGUAUUGAUAUGGCGAGUGCCAAGAAAUACUGUCCAACAAGACAUGCGUCAAUGCUGAAAUGGUUUGAAUAUGUAAAUGGCCUCCUUUCUCUUUUCGCCCCGUUGCAAGUUGGAAUGUUCUAUUAUACCGGCCAAAAACAAAGUCAACCCAACUGUCCAGUCCAACUGAUUGCAAAUUUUAAUCCUGGAACUGGUUCACAGAGUUAUCGAAGUAGUGACAAGGCCUGCACGCGUCCGUGCAGAUAUCGUCUACCGUUUUAUCUCAAGGAUCAUGGUCCCAAAUAUAAUGCGUAUUCUGUGGCCGCUCACGAGGCUAGACCUGGACACCACACUCAGCUUCACUCGUUUACCGAGUUGUUCAGCAAUGAUCGUUGUGAUGUUAUUAGCUGGUUGAAUGGUGUUAGCUAUUAUACUGCAUUCACAGAGGGCUGGGCCUUGUACGCAGAGAGAGUACUUAUCAGCCAGGAGACAAACAUCUACGACAAUCUACCUUUGCAAAAAUAUGGCAUGCUGAAGUGGCAAAUAUGGCGGGCUCUUCGUCUUAUUAUGGACACGGGGCUGCAUUAUAGAGGAAUGACCAGAGAUGAAGCCCUGGAACUGUUCGCAAAGUAUGCCUGGGAUCGAACAGACAAAGCUGUCAAAGACGUCGUACGUUACCAAAGCAACGAAGGCCAGGCUACGGCGUAUAUGAUUGGUCAAUUAGCAAUAUGGAAAUAUCGUAACGAUACCACUAAGCGGCUCCAGGAUAAUGAAAAGGAAUUUAAUGAAAAAGAUUUUCAUUUUCAGGUUCUUUCUCAGGGAUCAUCACCACUAAGUUAUCUUGAAGCUCACCUUCAGAGGUUCACUGACUGUACUAUUGAUCCGGAAGGCUCAGGCUGUGAUUCCCUCUUAAAUCCCGACUUCAAGUCUAUACGAAAGGCUAAAACAUCUCAAGCUAAGAAUAACUUCAGGUUGUUCACUGAUGAAGAGGACCAAGACAACGUGUACUUUGAUGGGAUGUAUGAAUCAAGGCCGAGGGACGUGAGAUUUGACUUGGAAUAUCACCGUCUGCACAUAGAGUUGGUUGCAAUCAUGAAGAAGGAAAAGCGAAUGUCCUAUAUAGCGGCCGGUGUCUGCUUAAUAGGCAUCAUUCUCCUCAUAGUAGGAAUUGUUUUACUAGUGAAAGCAAACAGUGCAACGAAAGAUUGCAAUUCCACCGUCAAGGGUAAGGAUACCAGCUCAGGAACCAAAGAGGCUGGCGAUCGAUGCAAAUUCUCCGACGAGGCACUCAGUUCUGGUUUCGCUAAAUUCCUUCAGAAAGUCCAGGACUCAGACUUUGAGGUCUUCCCUGAAGCCAUAGUGUACAAGCCUAACGUUACAGUAGAUGAGAUUAAGCGAGUCUUCAAGCCAUUUGAUUCUUCAUGGAAAAAUCUCAAGAAACGCACAGAUACUGCCAAGGAAUUGUUGGAUGAAGUCAAAGGUAUGAAAAUUAACACCAACAAGCUGAAACCCAGAGAAAAGAAAGCUUUGUUCCGUGUGAAGCACUUCCUGCAGUUCAACUUUGCUGUACCUUACGAUGGCAACUACUACGCCGGUGACUAUAUGAUGGGUCCGAAUCUCUUUUGCUGGCAACCGAUUUGUGGAGUUCCUAGCCAGGUCGCUUCACUGCGCUAUUUUAAACCAAAGGAGGUGAAAGACCUUGAAGUUCUACAGGAUAAGCUGGCUCUCUUCAACCAAACAUAUCAUUCUUAUAUCCAAAACCUGAAAGACGGCAUUAACGCAGGCAUGGUACGCAGUGUUGAGGAGUGUAAGGCUGGAUUGGACGCGAUCAAGAGGACAGCCUUUAAAGUUGCUCUCAACGGCCCUGAAGGAAUUUUGCAGGAGGGCUCAGUUGAAGAUCUUCUCUCACCCAAUUUCUUGAAGGAUAUAAUGAGCAAAUCGGAAGAUUUAGAUGAAUGGGAGAAAAAACAUGGAAAAACUGUCAAUGAAUCCGUCUGGGGAUUUCUUGUGGAUUACGUUGGAAAGCCUCUUGAUACUCUUUUCAAGUAUCUAGAGAACGACUUUUCCCAAUACUGCGUCCCUAGUAACAUAUCCAGCGGUCUUGCAAGUCUUCCUUUGUCGUACAUCUACAAAAAUGGCAACAAUACAGGCACUAAGACGACUAAAAAACUACCCUCAGGGGAGGACUUGGAUGGGAAAAAGUCUUACGACAUGAUUAUGCCAUAUUUUACGACCAAUAAUAUGACCGCUGAUGAAGUCCAUMAGUUAGGGUUUGAAAUGSUUWACAAGCUAUACCCCGAGGUUCUUGAAAUAGCACGUAAUGUCAACAACGUAACUAACAACGACACGGCUAAAGAGCUGUUUAUCAAAAGGCUCAACGAUUCAGAUAUGCACUAUGCUGAUUACAUACCCGCAAACGAGAGCAAUAAAGAGGCACAUAACAACUGCAGCAGCAUCGAAGGUGCCAAGAAAUAUUGUCCUAAGCGUUGGGCCGCGAUGCAACGAUGGUUUACAGAUGCUAACGAGAUUAUGAGCAUGUUGGAUCCAAAAACUGUAAAUAUGUUCUAUUUCAAUGGCUACAAGCACACGACACCCAACUGUCCAGUUCAAAUGCGUCCAAACUUUAACCCGUCCAGUGGAGCCCAGAGUUUCUCUCUAAGCGACAAAAAGUGUUCACGGCCUGCCUACUACAACAUACCAUUCUUCAAUGCUCGGCCUGGGCCUAAAUACGAAGAGAUGAGUGUAAAUGCGCACGAGGCAAGACCUGGUCACCAUACUCAGGUGCAAGGGAUGGUAGAGCAUUUCAUGGACACAUGCAGUGACGUCAUUAAAUGGUUGGAUUCGCAAACUCGUUACACCGCUUUCACUGAAGGAUGGGCUUUGUAUGCAGAAAAUCCACUGAUUGCUAAAGAAACUGAUGCAUACGAUGGUCGACCCUUUUCAAAAUAUGGCAUGUUAAAAUGGCAGUUGUGGAGAGCUCUCCGUCUUAUCGUAGACACAGGUCUUCACAACAAAGGCUUCUCUAGAGAAAAAGCUUUAAAAUUCUUCGCAGACUACGCCUGGGAUACAUCAGAUGGCGCAUCGAAAGAAGUAACUCGCUAUCAAAGCGAUCCAGGUCAAGCUACAGCCUACAUGGUCGGCCAACUCCAUAUAAUAAAGUUGAGGGAAUACGCCACGAAGAAACUGGGCAAGAAAUUCAAUCUGAGAGAUUUCCACUUCUACCUGCUCUCACAAGGGUCAGCUCCUCUUAGUUAUUUGGAYGAGAGUAUUUCGAGGUACGUGGAGUGUACGUUGAACAACGGUAARGGAGACGRCUGUCAUGAUGUACUCUAUCCUGUUGGUAACGACGACAAGACUACUGCAUCAGAUGGCAUCUUCGAUGAUACAGAAUGGGGCGGCUACCCACCCGAGCGCUACGUACCAUACCAUUAUAUAUGAAAAGAUAGUCAAUUGUAUAGAGUUGAUGAUAUUGAAAUGUGAAAAAGUGUAGACGAACAUAUUAUAACCCUUGUUGGUCACGAUUUUAAUUUUCCAUCGUGCAAUGUUUUCAUAUAUUAUAGGUUUGAGUGAUUUUAUAGCUAGUUCAAAAAGUUUUGUUUACGAAAACAGCGAACGAAAUUUACUGUGAGUAUCGAUUAUUUAUUCCGGAUCUUUUUUCUCGUGUUCUCCCACCAUUCCGCGCUGGAUAUUUCGACAGUAAACCGCUUCAAUCUAUCGUUUAUUGCUUAAAUACACUAAUUUUUCCCACUCAUCGCUGAUUGUCUUGCUGCGCUCGUGGGUCCACUUGAGUUUUGUCAAGAGGACAUAAAUCACUUGAGUAUUUUUUUUAAUUUUGAUUCAAAGAAGAUAGAAAGGUUUAUUAGUAAUUAGUUUUCAUUAGUUUUUCAAUAGGUGACCAUUCGUCAUUUCCUAAGUAAAAAAAAACAUGCGUAGAACAGUAUUGUAAACUUAAAGACAAAAAACAUUUCGAAAAAUCUUGAACGAUAACUGCUAUCGAAACUGCUACGUUUAUGCUGUAAUACACAAUGUCCUCUUAAUUGAACUGGGUAUGGUAAAUUCCACCUAGUGGUUCGCUCGUUUCCUCUAACAACCUUAAGUAAAUUAAAAAAAACAUGUUUUGACAACAACUGCGAUCACGAAAGUUGACCAAUACUUGGAUUUUGGAAAGAAGUUAUUAGUAGGACAUCAUUUCCUGGAUCGACCCUGGAGUUCAACGAAGCGUCAUUAGGUCGUUUAAUAAAAUUUCCACUUUUCGAAAUUGAACACAUUUUCCGAUUAGAGUUUUAGAGUGGUUUCAAUAAACCCAUGAAAUAAACCCAUAGCAUAGCAUAGCAUAUACUAAAGUAAACAUCAAUCAUAUCGUAUUCUUUUAUGUACAGCAAUAUGCACAAAUUAUGAUCUUUUUUGCUCAUACAGCCUUUUGCAAAAAUUAUGAGAAUUGU